rnacentral:rRNA from 1 species
UGCGCAGGCGGUUAUGCAAGACAGUCGUGAAAUCCCCGGGCUCAACCUGGGAAUUGCGAUUGUGACUGCAUAGCUAGAGUAUGUCAGAGGGGGGUAGAAUUCCACGUGUAGCAGUGAAAUGCGUAGAUAUGUGGAGGAAUACCAAUGGCGAAGGCAGCCCCCUGGGACAAUACUGACGCUCAUGCACGAAAGCGUGGGGAGCAAACA